GCUAAACCGUAAACACUGAUAGCUACUAUACAAUGCUUUCCGCCAGAGAACUACGAGUGAAAAACUUAAAACUCAAAGGACUUGGCGGUAUCCCACAUCGGCCUAGAGGAGCCUGUCCUAUAAUCGAUACCCCCCGUUCCACCCAACCUUAGUUUGCCAAACCAGCCUAUAUACCGCCGUCGACAGUCUACCCCAUGAGGGCCCAACAGUAGACAUAAAAGCAACCCCGCUAGUACGUCAGGUCAAGGUGUAGCAAAUACUAAGGAAGAGAUUGGCUACAUUUUUUAUAAUAAAAAAAACGAAAUGCGCCAUGAAACGCCGCAUGAAGGUGAAUUUAGCAGUAAAACAGAUAAGAGUGUCUGUUUUAACCCCGCUCUGGGAUGCGCACACACCGCCCGUCACCCUCCUCAACUAAUACACUAAAUAAAUCCAUAAGACACUUUAACCAGAAAGAGGAGGC
rnacentral:rRNA from 1 species